GACGAACGCUGGCGGCGUGCUUAACACAUGCAAGUCGAACGGUGAAGCGAGUGCUUGCACUCGUGGAUCAGUGGCGAACGGGUGGGUAACACGUGAGUAACCUGCCCAUCACUCUGGGAUAAGCACUGGAAACGGUGUCUAAUACUGGAUACGACCAACCCUUGCAUGGGGUGUUGGUGGAAAGAUUUAUCGGUGAUGGAUGGACUCGCGGCCUAUCAGCUUGUUGGCGGGGUAAUGGCCCACCAAGGCGACGACGGGUAGCCGGCCUGAGAGGGUGACCGGCCACACUGGGACUGAGACACGGCCCAGACUCCUACGGGAGGCAGCAGUGGGGAAUAUUGCACAAUGGGCGAAAGCCUGAUGCAGCGACGCCGCGUGAGGGAUGACGGCCUUCGGGUUGUAAACCUCUUUCAGCAGGGAAGAAGCGAAAGUGACGGUACCUGCAGAAGAAGCACCGGCUAACUACGUG
rnacentral:rRNA from 1 species